rnacentral:rRNA from 1 species
UACGGAGGGGGCUAGCGUUGUUCGGAAUUACUGGGCGUAAAGCGCACGUAGGCGGCUUUGUAAGUUAGAGGUGAAAGCCCGGGGCUCAACUCCGGAAUUGCCUUUAAAACUGCAUCGCUAGAAUUGUGGAGAGGUGAGUGGAAUUCCGAGUGUAGAGGUGAAAUUCGUAGAUAUUCGGAAGAACACCAGUGGCGAAGGCGGCUCGCUGGGCCAUUCCUGACGCUGAGACGCGAAAGCUAGGGGAGCGAACAGG